rnacentral:rRNA from 1 species
UACAGAGGUCCCAAGCGUUGUUCGGAUUCACUGGGCGUAAAGGGUGCGUAGGUGGCCGGGUAAGUCUGACGUGAAAUCUCCGAGCCUAACUCGGAAACUGCAUCGGAUACUAUCCGGCUUGAGGGUUGGAGGGGGGACUGGAAUACUUGGUGUAGCAGUGAAAUGCGUAGAUAUCAAGUGGAGCACCAGUGGCGAAGGUGAGUCCCUGGACAACUCCUGACACUGAGGCACGAAAGCUAGGGGAGCAAACAGG